GAUGAACGCUGGCGGCGUGCCUAAUACAUGCAAGUCGAGCGAACAGACGAGGAGCUUGCUCCUCUGACGUUAGCGGCGGACGGGUGAGUAACACGUGGAUAACCUACCUAUAAGACUGGGAUAACUUCGGGAAACCGGAGCUAAUACCGGAUAAUAUAUUGAACCGCAUGGUUCAAUAGUGAAAGACGGUUUUGCUGUCACUUAUAGUUGGAUCCGCGCCGCAUUAGCUAGUUGGUAAGGUAACGGCUUACCAAGGCAACGAUGCGUAGCCGACCUGAGAGGGUGAUCGGCCACACUGGAACUGAGACACGGUCCAGACCCCUACGGGAGGCAGCAGUAGGGAAUCUUCCGCAAUGGGCGAAAGCCUGACGGAGCAACGCCGCGUGAGUGAUGAAGGUCUUCGGAUCGUAAAACUCUGUUAUUAGGGAAGAACAAAUGUGUAAGUAACGAUGCACGUCUUGACGGUACCUAAGCAGAAAGCCACGGCUAACUACGU
rnacentral:rRNA from 1 species